CCUACGGGUGGCAGCAGUGAGGAAUAUUGGUCAAUGGCCGUAAGGCUGAACCAGCCAAGUAGCGUGAGGGAAGACUGCCCUAUGGGUUGUAAACCUCUUUUAUGCGGGGAUAAAGGUGUCCACGUGUGGAUGUUUGCAGGUACCGCAUGAAUCAGGACCGGCUAAUUCCGUGCCAGCAGCCGCGGUAAUACGGAAGGUCCGGGCGUUAUCCGGAUGUAUUGGGUUUAAAGGGAGCGUAGGCCGGUCUUUAAGCGUGCCGUGAAAUUUUGUGGCUCAACCAUGAGAGUGCGGCGCGAACUGGAGACGUUGAGUGCGCGGAAGGCAGGCGGAAUUCGUGGUGUAGCGGUGAAAUGUUUAGAUAUCACGAAGAACCCCGAUUGCGAAGGCAGCUUGCCGCAGCGUUACUGACGCUGAAGCUCGAAAGCGCAGGUAGCGAACAGGAUUAGAUACCCCAGUAGUC
rnacentral:rRNA from 1 species